rnacentral:rRNA from 1 species
UCGGUAGGUGAACCUGCCGUU